CAAGUCUGGUGCCAGCAGCCGCGGUAAUUCCAGCUCCAAUAGCGUAUAUUAAAGUUGUUGCAGUUAAAAAGCUCGUAGUUGGACCUUGGACCUGGACGGGCGGUCCGCCUCACGGCGAGUACUGUCUUGCUGGGUCUUUCCUCUUGGUGAUCUGUUGUUUGGGCAGCAGGGAACCAGGACCUUUACUUUGAAAAAAUUAGAGUGUUCAAAGCAGGCUCGACGCCGGAAUAUAUUAGCAUGGAAUAAUAGAAUAGGACGUGCGGUUCUAUUUUGUUGGUUUUUGGAAUCGCCGUAAUGAUUAAUAGGGACAGUCGGGGGCAUUAGUACUCACAUGCUAGAGGUGAAAUUCUUGGAUUUUGUGAAGACUAACUUCUGCGAAAGCAUUUGCCAAGGAUGUUUUCAUUAAUCAAGAACGAAGGUUAGGGUAUCGAAAACGAUUAAAUACCGUUGUAGUCUUAACAGUAAACUAUGCCA
rnacentral:rRNA from 1 species